rnacentral:lncRNA from 1 species
GGUAAGUAGUCUUUUUCACUACCGACACUUGAAACAGCGCAUGGCCUUAUUUGAAUUGUACAAGUGCAUCGUACUAUAUAGAAAAAUUUCCUCAGUUGUGUUUGUGUGUCGAAGGAUGUGAACUGGAAUUGCUCAUCUUCUAUAUUAGCUUAGGCCUAUGGGUUGAGCUUACCAUAAGCUAACUGAACCAGAGGAUUCCACUUUGGCUCUUCCAAAGAAACCUCAAAAUUGACUUGCACACAGACCCUAGCUACAUUCUGAAUCUUGAUCGCACACAGUUCCCGACACCCGGGACACACGGGAUAGGAUCAUGGCAUGGGAGGGCUUACUUGCAAACAGGGGCAGAGAAGAUGGCGCCAUUGACUUGACCACCGGUGAGUGAGAGGAGAGGGGCACAGCCGGCAUUUCCUCCCGUCAGUUCAAACUCCACUAAGUACAGAUACAAGAAGAAAUUAAUACUCCUGUAUUUAUAGUAAUAGUAAGCUUAUAGUAUAGCCUUAACCACCACGCAAAACGGCCAGAAAAUGAGCAGACCAGAUCAAGUUGCCGGGCACUGUGCCGCAUAAAUCUCCACAAGGGAAAGGAGGAUCAGAGACUGCUACUGGUAGCAAAGCCCGAUCGAGAUCCCUUCC